rnacentral:rRNA from 1 species
GACGAACGCUGGCGGCGUGCCUAAUACAUGCAAGUUGAGCGCUGAAGGUUGGUACUUGUACCGACUGGAUGAGCAGCGAACGGGUGAGUAACGCGUGGGGAAUCUGCCUUUGAGCGGGGGACAACAUUUGGAAACGAAUGCUAAUACCGCAUAAAAACUUUAAACACAAGUUUUAAGUUUGAAAGAUGCAAUUGCAUCACUCAAAGAUGAUCCCGCGUUGUAUUAGCUAGUUGGUGAGGUAAAGGCUCACCAAGGCGAUGAUACAUAGCCGACCUGAGAGGGUGAGCGGCCACAUUGGGACUGAGACACGGCCCAAACUCCUACGGGAGGCAGCAGUAGGGAAUCUUCGGCAAUGGACGAAAGUCUGACCGAGCAACGCCGCGUGAGUGAAGAAGGGUUUCGGAUCGUAAAACUCUGUUGGUAGAGAAGAACGUUGGUGAGAGUGGAAAGCUCAUCAAGUGACGGUAACUACACAGAAAGGGACGGCUAACUACGUG